AUGUGCGGGUGCGCGGAGGCGCUCGUGAGGGCGGUGGUGGCCUUCUUCAACGCCUUCCUCGUCGACUGCUUCCUCUUAUGCUUCCUCCCCUGCCGCCCCCGCCCCGGCCCGAACAGCCCCGCCUCCGACCACUGGGAUCCGCUCGUGCCCAAGGACUGGCAGGCGAGGCGCUCCCGGCCUGGACGAAGAGAAAGGUGCCCUCAGUCACAUGCGUGA
rnacentral:rRNA from 1 species